rnacentral:rRNA from 1 species
CGCUAAGCGGCAGUCUACCAUGCAGUCGAGCGGUAGCACAGAGAGCUUGCUCUCGGGUGACGAGCGGCGGACGGGUGAGUAAUGUCUGGGAAACUGCCUGAUGGAGGGGGAUAACUACUGGAAACGGUAGCUAAUACCGCAUAAUGUCGCAAGACCAAAGUGGGGGACCUUCGGGCCUCAUGCCAUCAGAUGUGCCCAGAUGGGAUUAGCUAGUAGGUGGGGUAACGGCUCACCUAGGCGACGAUCCCUAGCUGGUCUGAGAGGAUGACCAGCCACACUGGAACUGAGACACGGUCCAGACUCCUACGGGAGGCAGCAGUGGGGAAUAUUGCACAAUGGGCGCAAGCCUGAUGCAGCCAUGCCGCGUGUGUGAAGAAGGCCUUCGGGUUGUAAAGCACUUUCAGCGGGGAGGAAGGCGAUAAGGUUAAUAACCUUGUCGAUUGACGUUACCCGCAGAAGAAGCACCGGCUAACUCCGUGCCAGCAGCCGCGGUAAUACGGAGGGUGCAAGCGUUAAUCGGAAUUACUGGGCGUAAAGCGCACGCAGGCGGUCUGUCAAGUCGGAUGUGAAAUCCCCGGGCUCAACCUGGGAACUGCAUUCGAAACUGGCAGGCUAGAGUCUUGUAGAGGGGGGUAGAAUUCCAGGUGUAGCGGUGAAAUGCGUAGAGAUCUGGAGGAAUACCGGUGGCGAAGGCGGCCCCCUGGACAAAGACUGACGCUCAGGUGCGAAAGCGUGGGGAGCAAACAGGAUUAGAACCCGGGGGGUUCACAAAAAAGGGGGGGUAGUAUUUUGGGGAG